rnacentral:rRNA from 1 species
UUGUCCUACGGGAGGCAGCAGUGAGGAAUAUUGGUCAAUGGGCGGGAGCCUGAACCAGCCAAGCCGCGUGAAGGAAGAAGGCGCCAGGCGUCGUAAACUUCUUUUGUCGGGGAACAAAGGGCGCCACGUGUGGCGUUGUGAGUGUACCCGAAGAAAAAGCAUCGGCUAACUCCGUGCCAGCAGCCGCGGUAAUACGGAGGAUCCAAGCGUUAUCCGGAUUUAUUGGGUUUAAAGGGUGCGUAGGCGGAUUGAUAAGUUAGAGGUGAAAUGUCCGAGCUUAACUCGGGAACUGCCUCUAAUACUGU